AUGUGUCUGAGGGUAGCUUUUGGAAAUAUUUUGAAGAAACUCACUAAAACAGAUUGGGAGACUUUUUGUUGUAUGAAGAAUUGUGACAAAGCUGCAAUAUUUUUCCCCUGAAAUAUUUGUUAAUCUCUGCUACAGAUACAUAGGCAUUUCCCCCUGCAAGCCUUUGCAAUCCCUAUGUACCUUUAUGUUUCUAUCUAUCUAUCUAUCUAUCUAUCUAUCUAUCUAUCUAUCUAUCUACAUUAAUUUUAUGUAUGAAUUUUCCCCUCAUAUGUUUGCAGAUCUUUGCAAAUCCUAUAUACAUAUAGAUCCAUGUACCUGUCUAUCUGUAUCCGUAUGUAUACAUUAUUUAACCUACUGAUGCCUCGAUUAAUGUAAUUUUAUUGGUAUCUAUUUUAUUUUGAAAUUGACCAGUAGCUGCUUCAUUUCCCACCCUCGGCUUAUACUCGAGUCAAUAAGUUAUCCCAGUUUUUUUGUGGUAAAAUAAGGUGCCUCGGCUUAUAUUCAGGUCGGCUUAUACUCGAGUAUAUACGGUACAUGGUGGAUCGUAAUGCAUUUCUUCUUCACACGAUGUUCCUGGGCAAUCUUUAAACAUUGUGGUUUGUAGCCAUUGCUACCUUGUCAAGAGAGGGAUAAAUGGAAAGGAGAAAACGGUAAAAACGUUUAUGUCCAAUGACGGCUGUUUUUGCCAUCCAAUUAAUGCAGGUCAGGACCGGGAUGUUAAUGUUUAAUUCCUGCAAGAUGUUAAUAGUUCCAGAGGGGCCUUUAUUUUGAAAAGCUGUUUCGGUAUUUGGGUCUGACCAUGCAAAGCAUUUGAAGUACAGUAGAGUCUCACUUAUCCAAGACUCGCUUAUCCAAGGUUCUGGAUUAUCCAAGGCAUUUUUGUAGUCAAUGUUUUCAAUAUAUCGUGAUAUUUCGGUGCGAAAUUCGUAAAUACAGUAAUUACUACAUAGCAUUAAUGUGUAAUGAACUACUUUGUCAAAUUUGUUGUAUAACAUGAUGUUUUGGUGCUUAAUUUGUAAAAUCAUAACCUAUUUUGUUGUUUAAUAGGCUUUUCCUUAAUCUCUCCUUAUUAUCCAAGAUAUUCGCUUAUCCAAGGUUCUGCCGGCCCGUUUAGCUUGGAUAAGUGAGACUCUACUGUACUGUAAUUCAUUGUAUUGUCGAAGGCUUUCAUGGCCGGAAUCACUGGAUUG
rnacentral:lncRNA from 1 species